UUUGGAGACAAUUUUGAAGAAACGAGAUUAGGGUUAGGGUUUCACCUAUUUGGGCGUAUCCCCCGUAUAAAAUCCUAGUCUUUUAACAACUAAUUCUCCUCUCCCUCGCCCCCCACUCCCUCUCUGUAUGUUUUGCUCUGCAAUUUUUUUUUCUUUGCCUGGUUCUGUUCCUGUUUAGGUAAUAGCCGUGAUGAAACUUCAGUUCUGUGUACCAAAGACUCUCUUCGGAGUUGGUCUGUGACGGCAACACAACCCUCUAAGAAGUUCUGAGCAUUUUUUUUUUCUUGAAAUGUUUUCGCAUACGGUGUAGUUUGAUUUUAGAUCUGUCUUUUCGAAAGCUCAUUUUUUGAUUUUGGGAGUGUUGUGCGUGGUUUGAGAUGGAAAAAGCGAGGUGACGAUAGAAUUCAUUGGUCUGUCAAUCCACUGAUAUCAACAUCAGAUGAUGUUAAACAAUGAAUCCCGACAGGUUUUUCAUGAAUUGGAAACAGAGGAAGUUUAUGUACAUAUAAUUGCUGUGAGUGCUAGUGAUUUGAAUUUGGUUGGGGCAAGUGAUGAAUCUCAUAAACUUAUGGGUAAUUUGCGUCUGAAUUUUUUCAUUGAUGCUAUAUCACCUUGGAGACCUGAUGCCGCUUACCUUCUUCUUCUUCUUCUUCUGCUUCUUCUUUUUUGUUGAAAUUGAUUUGCUUAUUAUUUAUUGUUUGAAGUUUGGUCAAGAACCUGUUUUGGUUUUGGCUGUUCAAUUCCAUCAAGUUUAUGUCUGCUCAUUUUGAUGCUAACAUUCGCAUUAUGACAGGUUUCUAAAAUUUGUUUGGACCCCUUCAUGUUCCUAACUUCGGAUUAUCUGAUUUAGGUUUGAAUAAAAACCUCUGUUUGAGUUUCUUGGCUAUCAAAAUUGCUCUGAUGUUUCUCAAUCAGUUGUUCAGGAAUUUCCUUAAAUCUUUUGGGGCUUUAAACCAUGGUGUGGUCUGUAAUCUCACAACAUUUUGUUUUCCACGUGAGGCGGGCACAUCUUUGAACAAUAGUUUUACAACAUGCGGAAAGAUAAUAUUUUGUUCGAAAAA